rnacentral:rRNA from 1 species
GAAUAACUAAGCUGAUCGCAUGGUCUUGUACCGGCGACGUGUCUUUCAAGUAUCUGCCUUAUCAACUUUCGAUGGUAGUGUAUUUGACUACCAUGGUGGUGACGGGUAACGGAGGAUAAGGGUUCGACUCCGGAGAAGGGGCCUGAGAAAUGGCCACUACGUCUAAGGAUGGCAGCAGGCGCGCAAAUUACCCACUCUCAGAACAUUGAGGAGGUAGUGACGAAAAAUAACGAGACCGUUCUCUACGAGGCCGGUCAUCGGAAUGGGUACAAUCUAAACCCUUUAACGAGUAUCUAUGAGAGGGCAAGUCUGGUGCCAGCAGCCGCGGUAAUUCCAGCU